rnacentral:lncRNA from 1 species
UAUGCUGCUAUAGAUCUGGUAACAAUAGGGAAGCCCAUCAGACAACAACAAGAAUGCUCAAUGAAGGCAGAUUAUCCCCCUCAUAAUAUAAAAAACUAAAAAUGUAUCAGAACCACUAUAUUAAGGAAACUUAGCAAACUCACUAAACACAACUUGUAAACUCUUGAUUCUUCCACAUUAAGUAGUUGUUCACAAGCAAAGGACCCGUGUGCUGCAGAGGAGGGGGAAAGAAAAGUGGGAAAGGAGAGGAAGAUGGUAAGUUAACAUGGAUUGUCACAUGGGAUUUUGAAGUAAAGAAGGCCUCCUGUUUGUCAACCCCAGAAUUCUAAUUGCCUUAGUAAGUUACUUUCCUAGAUUAGAAAUGUCUUUUCUAUUGAUUUGCCUUACUAGUAUAAAGAGAUUACAAAUUCAAAAUACAUUAUAGAAGGUCUCAAGUACAGGAAGAGCCAGAUCUUAUACAAUCCGACAUUCCAACAAUUAUUUCCUUUACUUUGUUGGUCAUCCUUGAUCAACCAAUUUGGCCACAUUGGAGCAACAAAUAUAAGACAUAGAACUAUAACGGCAUAGGAGCACCACAACAGAGAUUGUUAGACACCCUAGAGAUAGGAUGCUGAUAAAAAAUGCUCAAAAUUGUAAAAAGUAAGCAGCAAAAAAAUGAGGAAAAUUAGAAAAUGGUCCUUAAAAGGAAAACAGGAAAGCAAAAAUGGCAAUCUCACCAUGUUCACAGCUUCACAUAAAAGAGCAGAAAAUUAUAACAAUUGGUUUAGAUCAUCAAUUCAUCUGUUACAGUAUGGUUCAUCCAGGAAGACCCAACAAAAGGUGAUAUAUAUAUUUUACACUCCACAUUGUUUUCUUCUCUUGAUAGACUCAAAAGAAGCGUAUAUCCUGCAGUAGAAAUGACUUACUGACUUAGCAAAC